ACAGGAAGCCAAAAUGGAAGUCGCCAAAACGUUGAGCUUCAGAUUUCCUAUAUAAGACACUGUUUCUGUUAAACAAACCACCAGUCUUCUACAGACCACAACGUAAAAAUGAACAAGUCAGCACUUCUUCUUUUGCUCGUCAUCGGACUCCUCGUUCUUACUGAAACCACUGAUGCCUAUUGGGGUCGUCGUCGUCGUCGUAGAUAUAGCCAAAAGUCAACAAGUGUUGAAGAAAAUGAUGUAAUGAUGAAUGAAAUUAUGCGAAAAAUCAUUCAACAGAAUGAAUAGUUGCUUGCCCAUCCAGUGCAUUAUAAUAUGUUGAUUUAAUAAAUUCAAUAGCAACAUUA